rnacentral:rRNA from 1 species
AUACGGAGGGUGCAAGCGUUAUCCGGAUUCAUUGGGUUUAAAGGGUGCGCAGGCGGACUUGUAAGUCAGUGGUGAAAUCCCGGGGCUCAACCUCGGAACUGCCAUUGAUACUGCAAGUCUUGAGUUUGGUUGAAGUGGGCGGAAUGUAGCAUGUAGCGGUGAAAUGCAUAGAUAUGCUACAGAACACCGAUCGCGAAGGCAGCUCACUAAACCAACACUGACGCUCAGGCACGAAAGCGUGGGGAGCGAACAGGAUUAGAAACCCUAGUAGUCC